rnacentral:lncRNA from 1 species
CAGAAUGACAAGUCCUUGUGUCACUGUGUACGGAUAAGACAGUCAAAUUACUUAGUCAUGUUGUCAAUAUAACAGUGUACUCUGGAGGGAUUGAUAUAGAGAAGGAAAAAGAAAUAUGGGCACAAAGAUGAAAAUAAAAAGAUAAGUCCACUGUGUAACUCUUGUGUCUGUCUAUACAGUGUAUGCUUUCCAACUGAAGAGUCAUGAGAUGAACCUUUGAGCUAUUUCAGAGAAAUGGUUUAUCAUUGGCUUAUCUACAUUCUCUUCAUUAGUCAAGAUUCACUUGCACAAUUCAUGCCAAAUUUACAAAAAGUCUAAUAAUAAUGUGUAAAAAAAAAUGUGUUUGGCAGUUUAUGACAACUAGAUGAACCUUUUUGCAUUCAGUGACUUAUACGAUGAACUAACGACUAGAUGUUUUGAGGGGUAAGACUAUUGCACAGAAAACUAUAUAAUACAUUUUGAGUAACAUGACAUUAGCAACUGAUAAUGUAGGAAACUGCAGAUAAAUGUGCAUAAUCAACUGCAUGAAUGUACAAAAGCAAUCGCAACUUGUUCAAAAGAAUGAGAAACUGGUUUUAUGAUGUGUAUAAAUAACUAGAUGAUGUGGAGGUUGUACAAGUAGUUUUGAGAAUUUCAUUCCUGAUUUGAGAAAUGCACCAAAGUGACUGAGAAAAACUGUAAAUGCAGGGCACACACAUGGAGUGUAUCACCUUGAAUGUUUUGUUCAGUAUUUUGGACUAGAUGUCGUUCUCUCAUUGUGAAUAGGCAUGUGUCUGUGUGUAUGUUUCAGAGCAGCACACAGGCGUGUGUUUUGCGUCGGUUGUGAAUGGACGCUGUGCUCAGGAAAUCAGCGGACGCUUCAGUAAAGUCCAGUGCUGCUGUGAGCGUGGACGCUGCUGGAGUCAGAGCACAGCUCAUGAAAUGUGUCCUAUGCCACGAUCAGACGAAUACUACAGGAUCUGUCUGGUGGGCUCUGCCCUGAGUGGCUUCAGUGAAGAGCAUCCUGACAUGCCCUCUCAGCUUCCCAGCGGCUUCAGACCUGCCUCUAAUGACCAGAUACUUCACACACUUAAUAACAAUGGACUCAUCACACCUCAGAUUCAUCACAUUCCCCAAAUCCCUCAGAUCUCAGGGAAUGGUCAUGGAUUUAAACCACAGCGUCCUGUUGUCGGUGAGCAAGACCCAACAAGACCAAGAACAAGUGCUGUCAAGCUGCUUUUAAGGCCCUGAUGAGCUUGUGUUUGAUUUGCUAGUUGGUGUGACUGAGACUGUCAGCAGGUGUGGUCCGUGUCUGAAUGGACGCUGUGUACCGGUGGGCUCUGACUACCGUACAGAGAGGACAGCAGAGGAGAGUGUUCAGGUCAUCUCAACAUGACAGCCUAUCUGUCUACAAAAGCAAAUGUUCAUGAAUCAGACAUGAAUUGUAUUCAGUUGCUCAGUAUAAAAAAAAAGUUUGCAUCAUCCAGAAUCUGACCCGACAUCUCAAAGAGCCUCAAAAUGUAUAUUAGAAAAUGAACCAGCAGAAACCUGCCUAAAGCAGUGACCUUGGCUGAUUGCUGUGAGUGUUGUGUGUUUUGUGUGCAGAUGUAGAUGAGUGUGUGUUGGAGCCCUGCACUAAUGGAGACUGUAUCAACACGGCUGGCUCCUUCUACUGCAGAUGCCACUCAGGCUUCCUCAGGGUUCCUGGCAAACAGGCCUGCGCUGGUGAGAAUCAUCCCACAAUCCACACCGCUGUGUGUUUUAGUGCUGUCAGUGGCAUCUUAUACAAAUAGAUGAAUAAAUUAAAUAGCACCAUUCUGGUUUGUUUUGUUUUUGAAUUACAAAGGUAUAUUUCCUAAUGAUUUAGUAAAAAAAAAAAAAAAAAAAGUGU